CGGUGGCCACCAGCGCGAUGACCCGGAGCCCCCGCUUGUCCAGGAGCCAGGUGACCGGGAAUAUGAAGGGGAUGUACGUCAGCAUGUAGAUCAUGGACAUCCAGUCUAUGGUGAAGGUGUCCACGUUGUAGAACUUCAUGAAGAUGUUGCUGAUGAUGCCGUACUGGAUCCACUGGAAGGAGUUGGACAGAGAGUAGAAGCUGAAGAGGAGCACGAUCAUCCAGCGCCGGCGGUACAGCCGGGUGGUCCGCGUCGCCUCUUGACCGUCCUUCAGCUUGGGUUCGUCGGCGCACAGCGACGCGUCCACCGUCUCCUCCUGCCGGGCAUGGUCCUCUUUGGUCUCCUCCAGGUUAGGUUUAGGAUCUUCCAGCGCUAGUUUCUCGAUCAUGUUAGUCUCUCAACAAAGUUUCUACCCAAGUGCUGCGGGUCAAAGCACCGCGAAGUGCAAGUGAGCGUGGCGGAGGACUCGCCAGGUCUCAUGGGCGAAAGAGUCACGCUAAGGACAACCAGGCUUUAGAAAUCCACGUUCAUCGGCUUCGACUCACAACGUAGUGUCUCAAAUGUCACUCAUGCUGACCCGAGUGGUUCAUGAUCAGAGGGUGAAGUCUCUACAACGUGCGGAUCCACACAUGGAUUUCCUCUCCCCCGGGAUUGGAGACUCUAUUCUGAGCGAACCCGCGAACUCUGAAGCCCGCGCUGUUCAAAUCACUUCCGAUCAGAGAUGCGUGAAGAAGGAGUCGGAUCUCCUCAGGGACUCCACCGACGGGGUUGACACGUGUAGCGCGGCUUCUGCGACGCUCCACACGGACCAAAAACAAGUCUUCACAGGAGUGGGUCAUCAGAGGCUUAACAAGGGCGGAGUUUCCUCAACAGCACUAUACGCGGGUGUUCAAACAGCUUUUCACAAUCAAAACAGCUCGCUAUUAAAACCAAACACAUCCGGGGAACUCUGCUAUUCAUCAGGUCAAUGUGUCUGAUGAUGAAUUUAAUACGUAUUUCCUGUUGAAUAACUUUAUUUCAACUUUAGGCUCCAGUUUAAAACAUUUCAAUCUAUUUCACAAACAACAAUAGGUUUUAUUCUGUUCUUUAAAGGUGUCAUAUAUCAGAAAAAGAGACACACAAGCCUUGUUCGGAGCCAAAACAUAAUCCUACCCAUCAAGUACAGGAUAUGAAGGAUUCCUGUUCUGCUACUGUAACUUUCAUACGAGUCAACACUGCCCUCUACAGGUUGAGUCAAUGAAGCACCAUGGUGUUUGUUUUUCGUGCCCCCUGCUAUCAGCAUCUGUGCAGACUUCACACACCCACACAGAAGAACACAGUGUGUCGUUCACCGAAGAACAACACUGACAUAAAGGCACGACAACAACAGAGAAGAUUACCGAAGAGACAUCACUUUUAAAGAAUCAGCACAGUCCACACGGUCGCCUGCUCUGUCUGUCGUGAUGAGGAGCCUACAGUGUCACCUCCUGAUACCUCCAAGGCCUCGUGUUUUUUUGUUGAUUUUUUUAUAUUGUUGCCCUGAGAGCCGAACACUCUGCAACUUAAGAUAACACGUGCAAAUGUCAUCAAUUUGAUAGCACAUGCAUGGAAAAUAGAAAAUAAAUAGUACACUGCAAAUACUCACAACACAACAGAAGUGUGUCCAUGGGAGAAAUUGAUGAGGACUGUUAGUUUUUUUUCUCCAUCUGCAUGUAUUUUCUUACAUUGCAGCACGUUGAGCUCCCAGGGCCCCCGUAAAUAAAGGUUUUUAAAAUGCUUCAAAGGUUCAGAGUGUAAGAUUUAGGUGACAGGGUUGUAUUGGCAUAAACUGAAUAUAGAAUAAUCCUAGUGAUGUUUUCAAAAGUGUGUUUCAUCUAAAUUGUACAAAUCGUUGUAGUUUUUUUGCGGGUCCUCUCUACGGAGGCUACCAUGUUUUUUACAGUCGCCAAACCGGACAAACUAAACCCCUUUUUGAGUUUUUAUGACAACUGAAGGCUGCCACAGUUUCUCCUUUGGAAGGGCAUGGUGAGAUGAGGGGCGUUCAACUGAAACAUGCAACUUCACCAGUAGAUGUCAUCAAAUUCUACACACUGAACCUUUAAAGCAAGAUUGCAUUGGUUUAUUUCUCUUUUUUUUUAAACAUAAAAAUUGAUCACUCCUGCACUAAA